UACGUAGGGGGCGAGCGUUGUCCGGAUUUAUUGGGCGUAAAGAGCUCGUAGGCGGUUUGGUAAGUUGGAUGUGAAAUCUCCAGGCUCAACUUGGAGAGGUCAUUCGAUACUGCCAUGACUAGAGUUCGGUAGGGGAGUGUGGAAUUCCUGGUGGAGCGGUGAAAUGCGCAGAUAUCAGGAGGAACACCCGUAGCGAAGGCGGCACUCUGGGCCGGAACUGACGCUGAGGAGCGAAAGCGUGGGGAGCGAACAGG
rnacentral:rRNA from 1 species